rnacentral:rRNA from 1 species
UACAGAGGUCUCAACCGUUGUUCGGAUUCAUUGGGCGUAAAGGGUGCGUAGGCGGUCGGGUAAGUCUGAUGUGAAAUCUCACAGCUUAACUGUGAAACUGCAUUGGAUACUAUCCGGCUCGAGGAAUGGAGGGGAGACUGGAAUACUUGGUGUAGCAGUGAAAUGCGUAGAUAUCAAGUGGAACACCAGUGGCGAAGGCGAGUCUCUGGACAUUUCCUGACGCUGAGGCACGAAAGCCAGGGGAGCAAACGGG